rnacentral:rRNA from 1 species
CAUUAAUAAAAGUAGUUUUUAUCUUCAUAACUUAAAGAAUUUGGCGGUUAAAUUUAUUUUCAGAGGAACCUGUGUUAUAAUUGAUAAACCACGAUAGUUUAUAUCUCUAAUUUUAUUUGUAUACCUCUAUAAAUUGAUUAUUUUUUUAGAAUAUUGUCUUUUUACUUGAAUAUUAAUUUUAGGUCAAGGUGCAGUUUUUUAUAGGAAAUUAUGGGUUACAUAAGUUUUAAUUUUAAUUUUUUUUUAUUAUUUUAUUAUAAUUUAUAUAGAAUUUGAAAGUAAUUUAUUUAAAUUUAUUUAUUUGAAUUU